rnacentral:rRNA from 1 species
AACGAACGCUGGCGGCGUGCCUUACACAUGCAAGUCGAACGAGAAAGCUCCUUCGGGAGUGAGUAGAGUGGCGCACGGGUGAGUAACACGUGGGUAAACUACCAUCAGGUCUGGGAUAACUCGGGGAAACUCGGGCUAAUACCGGAUGAGACCACGAACUAUAAGGUUUGUGGGAAAAGCGGGGGACCUCUUCGGAGGCCUCGCGCCAGUUGAUGUGCCCGCGGUCCAUCAGCUUGUUGGCGGGGUAACGGCCCACCAAGGCUAAGACGGAUAGCUGGUCUGAGAGGAUGAUCAGCCACACUGGAACUGAGACACGGUCCAG